UAGUUGGACUGAAUCUAAAAGGUUUUUCGACUCCCUCGUCUACGGACUUGGGGUUAAAGUUGGGAUUCCUAUUGAUGAAUGGGGACAUCACCCGCAAGGGCGUUUCCAGAUUUUACUUUGAAUUAAGGAGAGUGUUUAAAACAGGCGAAUGCCUUGAAUAAUUUAGCAUGGGAUAAUAAAAUAUGACUUUGGUCUAAACUUGUUGGUUUCUAAGGCCUUAGUAAUGAUUGAUAGGGACAGUUGAGGUCGCUUGUAUUCAGGGGCGAGAGGUGAAAUUCUAUGACCCUUUGAGGACAAACAAAUGCGAAGGCAUUCGACAAGGAUGUUUUCAUUAAUCAAGAACGAAAGUUAUGGGAGCGAAGAUGAUCAGAUACCGUCGUAGUCAUAACUGUAAACUAUGUUGACUCGGGAUCGGGGGAUGUUACAUGGAUGACUCUCCCAGCACCGAAUGCGAAAGCAAAGUAUCCAAACUCCGGGGGGAGUAC
rnacentral:rRNA from 1 species